AACGAACGCUGGCGGCAUGCCUAACACAUGCAAGUCGAACGAGACCUUCGGGUCUAGUGGCGCACGGGUGCGUAACGCGUGGGAAUCUGCCCUUGGGUUCGGAAUAACAGUUGGAAGCGACUGCUAAUACCGGAUGAUGACGUAAGUCCAAAGAUUUAUCGCCCAAGGAUGAGCCCGCGUAGGAUUAGCUAGUUGGUGAGGUAAAGGCUCACCAAGGCGACGAUCCUUAGCUGGUCUGAGAGGAUGAUCAGCCACACUGGGACUGAGACACGGCCCAGACUCCUACGGGAGGCAGCAGUGGGGAAUAUUGGACAAUGGGCGAAAGCCUGAUCCAGCAAUGCCGCGUGAGUGAUGAAGGCCUUAGGGUUGUAAAGCUCUUUUACCCGGGAUGAUAAUGACAGUACCGGGAGAAUAAGCUCCGGCUAACUCCGUG
rnacentral:rRNA from 1 species